AUACUAUUGAUCUUGGGGCCGGGAGAGGUUGGAGGUACUCCGGGGGUAGGGGUGAAAUCUUGUAAUCCGGGGGGGACCACCUGUGGCGAAGGCUUCUUACUGGAACGGACUUGACGGUGAGGAACGAAAGCUGGGGGAGCAAACCGGAUUAGAUACCCGGGUAGUCCUGGCCGUAAACGAUGUG
rnacentral:rRNA from 1 species